CAGUCGCCGCGGGAAUACAGAGGGUGCGAGCGUUAAUCGGAUUUACUGGGCGUAAAGCGUGCGUAGGCGGCUAAUUGAGUCGGAUGUGAAAUCCCCGAGCUUAACUUGGGAAUUGCAUUCGAUACUGGUUAGCUAGAGUGUGGGAGAGGAUGGUAGAAUUCCAGGUGUAGCGGUGAAAUGCGUAGAGAUCUGGAGGAAUACCGAUGGCGAAGGCAGCCAUCUGGCCUAACACUGACGCUGAGGUACGAAAGCAUGGGGAGCAAACAGGAUUAGAUACCCCGGUAGUCCCUGUCUCUUAUAC
rnacentral:rRNA from 1 species